AUGUGUCAAGUUUGUGUGCAAGCUAAGCAACCUCGUAAGUCUCACACGACUGCGGAAACGAGAAAUCUUGCACCACUAGAGCUCAUACAUUCAGAUCUAUGUGAAAUGAAUGGUGUUUUGACAAAAGGUGGAAAGAAAUAUUUCAUGACGUUAAUUGACGACUCCACUAGAUACUGCCGUGUGUAUCUUCUAAAAUCUAAGGAUGAGGCUUUGAACUUUUUCAAGAUCUAUAAAGCUGAAGUGGAAAACCAACUUGAUCAAAAAAUCAAGAGGCUUAGGUCCGACCGUGGUGGAGAGUAUUUUUCCAAUGAAUUUGAUGCUUUUUGUGCGGAACAUGGUAUAAUCCAUGAGAGGACACCUCCCUAUUCACCUCAGUCAAAUGGGGUGGCCGAAAGAAAGAACCGUACUCCAAUUGAUUUGGUUAACGCCAUGUUAGACACAUCGGGUCUCUCCAAGGCAUGA
rnacentral:rRNA from 1 species